rnacentral:misc_RNA from 1 species
GAAUUGCGAUAAGUAUUGUGAAUUGCAGAUUUUCGUGAAUCAUCGAAUCUUUGAACGCACAUUGCACCCUCUGGCAUUCCAGAGGGUAUGCCUGUUUGAGCGUCAUUUCUCUCUCUGGGCUGUGGGCAUUUCUCUGCCUACAGUCCGGGUGUUGAGUGAGACCCCCCCUGCCCAGCAGCGGGUCCGCACGAAAUAGACGCUGGCCAGAGUCCCCCAGCCCCCAGCGCCCGCUAGAGCCUGUGGUGAAUGUACUAGGUAUUGCCAUCUCAUUCCAACAGCAACAGCAGCCGGGGGCCCUCUCAGGGCUCGGCCUAAGAACACCUGCCUAAAGGUUGACCUCAAAUCAGGUAGGACUACCCGCUGAACUUAA